rnacentral:rRNA from 1 species
UACGUAGGGUGCAAGCGUUGUCCGGAAUUAUUGGGCGUAAAGAGCUCGUAGGCGGUCUGUCGCGUCGAAUGUGAAAACCCGGGGCUCAACCCCGGGCCUGCAUUCGAUACGGGCAGACUAGAGUUCGGUAGGGGAGUCUGGAAUUCCUGGUGUAGCGGUGAAAUGCGCAGAUAUCAGGAAGAACACCCGUGGCUAAGGCGGCUCUCUAGUACGGUACUGACGCUGAGACGCGAAAGCGUGGGGAGCGAACAGG